rnacentral:rRNA from 1 species
AGUCGUACGGGAGUUUUUAACUCNAGUGGNGGACGGGUGAGUAACACGUACGANUUUGCCUUUAGGAGGCGGAUAACAACUGGAAACGGUUGCUAAUACCCCAUAUGCUUUCCCGCGAAACGGAUUUUUCCGCCUAAAGAGAAGCUUGCGGCUGAUUACCUUGUUGGUAAGGUAAUGGCUUACCAAGGCGACGAUCAGUAUCUGCUUUGAGACGACGAUCCGACACACUGCAACUGAGACACGGCCCCCACUCCUACGGGAGGNAGCAGUGGGGAAUUUUCCGCAAUGGGCGAAAGCCUGACGGAGCAAUACCGCGGGAGGGAUGACGGCCUAUGGCUUGCAAACCUCUUUUUUCAGGCACGAAUAAAUGACGUGUACCUGAAGAAUAACCAUCGGCUAACUCCGCGCCAGCAGCCGCCGUAAGCCGGGGGAUGCAAGCGUUAUCCGGACUCACUGNGCGUCAAGCGUCUGCAGGUGGUUUAAUAAGUCAACUGUUACAUCUUGAGGCUCAACCUCGAAAUCGCAGUCGAAACUAUUAGACUAGAGCAUAGNACGGGUAAAGGGAAUUUCCAGUGGAGCGGCGAAAUGCGUAGAUACUGGAAAGAACACCGAUGGNNAANGCACUUUACUGGGCUAUUACUAACACUGAGAGACCAAAGCUAGGGUAGCAAAUGGGAUUANAUACCCCAGUAGUCCCUAGCCGUAANNNUGGAUACUANAUGUUGAACAGAUCGACCUGUGCAGUAUCAAAGCUAACGCGUUAAGUAUCCCGNCUGNGAAGUAUGCUUCGUAAGAGUGAAACUCAAAGGACUUGACGG